rnacentral:misc_RNA from 1 species
UACGGAGGGUGCAAGCGUUGUCCGGAUUUAUUGGGUUUAAAGGGUGCGUAGGCGGCCAAUUAAGUCAGUGGUGAAAGCCCACAGCUCAACUGUGGAACUGCCAUUGAUACUGGUUGGCUUGAGUCCGGUCGAGGCGGGCGGAACUGGUGGUGUAGCGGUGAAACGCAUAGAUACCACCAAGAACUCCGAUUGCGAAGGCAGCUCGCUGGGCCUGUGACUGACGCUGAGGCACGAAAGCAUGGGGAGCAAACAGG